AUGCCCUCUUCGUUUCCACGUGGAGCACGCUCUAUUCCUAUCACGUGGCUGAGGGGGCUGUCUUUGAUUGGCUGCCAGCCCGAGUCUCUUGAAACUUGUGAUGCUGUACCCUUUUUUGCCUCAGUGCCUCCCUCCUUUCCCGCCCCACCCGUGUGGUUUCGAGGAAUUGACCCUGGGGGUGUUUGUUUCAAACCCCAGUUUCUAAGGGUCAGAAGUGGGAGUUUGGGCAGAGGUGGCCUUGGAGCAGGUAUUGCAGGCCGGGUGGGGCAGCAACGAGCCUCUGAGAAGCAGAGGUGUCUGAGAAUGGAGCCCCAGGGACGUUGUGGCCUUGGAACUCAAAUUGUCCUCUUUAACUGCUCUGGAACCGAGUUUAACUAUACAGCGAAUUCUUUUGGCUCCCCUCUGAGGUGGUGGGAAAGAUUAUGCCUUCCACGCAGUGGGGUGUGCUAUUGCUUACUUUGGGGGAAGUCCCUAGACAUGAACCAUGCUGAAGAUUUCUCUUAGAGAUUUUCCUGAAGGAACUCUAUGGUGGAGAGGAGUACCAGAGAAGGAAACAGCUUAGCUUACAGCAUGGGAUCCGAUUCAACUCUAUGAGAUCCCAGAUACCUUUGGGACCCCCUCAGUCAUUGGAUGCAUACAAAAGCCCAGAAGACUAUUUUCUAUCUGAAUUAAAAGGAGUCGAACUCUUUGUGGAUUACAAAUAUUGAGAGUUUUGAUGAUGAGAAGGGAGGAAAAAUGGCAGCAUGGCUCCAGAAUGGUUUCUUUAUCAUGUCAGCAGGCAUCUCGACCCUAUUCUCAAAGAACUGCUGGGCUCAUCAUAAAUUAAGAUAAUUUAUUGCCAUUAUCAUUCCUAAAUGAUGCUGAGAAACUUCAAGAACUACCUUGGCAAAACAGUAUCUCAAAGACUUUAUAGUGUCAGCUUUUUCUCCUUGAGUCAUGUAGCAUUAAUCAGUUUGAGUAUGAAUUUGUUUACUUAAGAUGCCUUCCUGCCAGUCUUUUUCUCAUGUAAAACUUCUGUUUUCUUAGUUUGCAAAUAAUCAUGGAACACAUGAAGGAUAAGCCUAAAGAAAUUAUCAGAGACACAUAGUAGGAAAUGCCUUGCCCAGAGUCACACAACUAGAAAAAGUCAGAGACAGGAUUUGAACAUAGAUUUUGUUGAACCCAAAUCUAACACCCUAGUUAAUUUACUACCCUGCCUUUAAUCAUAAAAGAGCAUUGAAAAAAUAGGAAAUUGUGAAUAAAGUGCAAAAAUGUCAACUGUUGCCA
rnacentral:lncRNA from 1 species